rnacentral:rRNA from 1 species
UAGGGAAUAUUGCAAAAUGGGCGAAAGCCCGAUGCAGCAACGCCGCGUGGGCGAUGAAGGCCUUCGGGUCGUAAAGCCCUUUUUGAGGGGAUGAGGAAGGACAGUACCCUCAGAAUAAGCCUCGGCUAACUACGUGCCAGCAGCCGCGGUAAAACGUAGGAGGCGAGCGUUAUCCGGAUUUACUGGGCGUAAAGCGCGUGCAGGCGGAUUGGAGAGUUGGAUGUGAAAGCUCCCGGCUUAACUGGGAGAGGUCGUUCAAUACUUCCAGUCCUGAGUGCAGUAGAGGGAAGUGGAAUUCCGGGUGUAGUGGUGAAAUGCGUAGAUAUCCGGAGGAACACCAGUGGCGAAAGCGGCUUCCUGGACUGUAACUGACGCUCAGACGCGAAAGCUAGGGUA